GAUGAACGCUGGCGGCGUGCCUAAUACAUGCAAGUCGAGCGAAUGGAUUAAGAGCUUGCUCUUAUGAAGUUAGCGGCGGACGGGUGAGUAACACGUGGGUAACCUGCCCAUAAGACUGGGAUAACUCCGGGAAACCGGGGCUAAUACCGGAUAACAUUUUGAACCGCAUGGUUCGAAAUUGAAAGGCGGCUUCGGCUGUCACUUAUGGAUGGACCCGCGUCGCAUUAGCUAGUUGGUGAGGUAACGGCUCACCAAGGCAACGAUGCGUAGCCGACCGGAGAGGGGGAUCGGCCACACUGGGCCCGAGACACGGCCCAGACUCCUACGGGAGGCAGCAGUAGGGAAUCUUCCGCAAUGGACGAAAGUCUGACGGAGCAACGCCGCGUGAGUGAUGAAGGCUUUCGGGUCGUAAAACUCUGUUGUUAGGGAAGAACAAGUGCUAGUUGAAUAAGCUGGCACCUUGACGGUACCUAACCAGAAAGCCACGGCUAACUACGUGCCAGCAGCCGCGGUAA
rnacentral:rRNA from 1 species